CUACAUCUUGUGAAUCUUGAUUCAAGAUCAGUGAAGUUAACGAAAUGGUUUCGUUACAGGUUAGGAUGUCUUAUGUUUAUAUAAAUAUAAAUACAUAAAUAUUUGAUUCUAAAUAUAUAAAUUUUACAUUAAUUAAAUGAUUAUUUGAGAAUAUUUUUAUAUAUUUUGAUAAAUGGAGUGCAACGAAGAAGAUUGGUCGAUAGAAUGUUCAGAUGAUGAGAAAUAUGAAAUGGAUGGAAAGAAUGAAUGGAAUUUGAAACCUGAUGAUAUAUUAACAUUAAUUGAAGCUCUUGAAGCUAAUAACAGAGUUUCAGAACUUGAAUGGAAGUGUCCUGGUAGAAGAGGUCCAUCACCUGUUCCUUCAAACAACCGACAACAAGAUAAUGGCUCACAAGAAUACAAGGCAGAAGAAAAAUCAGAUUUUGAUUUUAUGGAUGAAAUGUCGUCACCGAGAUUACCAGUUCGUAGAACUGGAGAAAGUACUCCAAAGGGAAGUGCUAAGAAGAAGACUGCUAGCUUUAAUGGUGUACUAUCUACUAUGUUGCGACAUCGUAGGUUAGAGCAACAGGAAAUCAAUUCAAGUCCGAAAAAGAUUGAAUCAUCUGUAUCAAAGACACAACCAAUUUAAAGCUCUUGUUACAUCAAUUUCAUAAAUCCCACUCUGGAAAUUCACCUGUACCCCAAACAUAACUACCCCAUAAAAGGAAAAAAAUAGUAUUUAUUAAAAGAGUAUAUAUGGAAGGAAUGCAACCUCCUAUCAUUAAAUAUUUAGUUUUCAAUUUUCCAACCAUAGCUAUAAUUGCAUUUGGAGGCGUACCGACCGGUAAUCGAAAAGAGUAAGAACACAUUAUAGCUGUUGGCACCAUUAAAUAUAAUGGAUGAAUAUCCAUAGCUAUACACUUAAAUUCCGUAAAAAGGCCAAUAAGAAAGGAAACGAAAAGCAAAACUAAUGCUGGAGGCAAAUAUCGUAAUGGUUUCAUUGCUUCUCCAACCAUUUUUGCCAUUCCGGAAGCAACAGUGGCUCUGGAUAUUGCAAAUCCA